GAAUGUAUGUUGAAUGACAAAGCUCUUCCCCACAGGGCCAGGAUGAUCACAGAGUACCUCCAGGAUUUGGGAGUGGAGAGGAUGAGAUGACCUGCUGUGAG